CUCGAUAGGUGUAUUGCAUCAAAUAGAGAGUACUUUGAAGGUCAGUCUGCAUUGAACAUGACAUUAAUUACAUGCAGUGGUGCUUCUGGCUUCUUGCCUUGGGCAUUUAAAAAAAUGGAGCCUUUCGAUCUAAGAAAUUAGGCUUUGAAUCUUGUGUCACAGAAGAAUAUGGAGCAACUUUCAAAUGAUCCAGUGAAACACUGCAGACUCCACUAUGGAUCGACAAAUUCCAGGGAAGACAAAAUUAAAGCCAUCAGGCCAAAGCAAAGAUCCAGUCCCCGACUUUAAAGUGCACAUGUUGGACAAUGAAUCGCUGGCUGCCGCACCCGUGUGGCGUGUGGCAUAGCUGUUUGCCUGCAUUGAUUUAAAGGCCUCUCUGUGUACACCCAGGACUGCUGUGCUGUGUUCCUGCAAACAAUGGGAGACAACGAUGAAAAGCCACACGGGAAACCCUUAUGGAACUGCAGACGUGUUAAGAGAUCAGAUAGGUAAACAAACCAGCAACAAACCGAGGCAGCUGCUGCACGUGUGUGCAGCUCUUCCCUUGUCAGGGAACUCCCAGCGACCAGGAACUACAGGUUUGGAAGAACCAGAAUAAUGUGAAUCCGGAGUGGGGUAGCUCCACACUGCAUACAGGCAUGAGCACUGUCACUAACUGAGGCCGUGCCUCUGGACCACUGUCCUUGGCCGGACAUCACAGCUCCUUGUCACUCCGCUGUUAGAAUGGCUGACAUUAACUGUACUUGCCCUGAUAUUUGGAGACUGAGGGUGAUCGUCAUAUAGCAUACACUCCACCUAAGCUCUUCUUCAGGUAUUAGGGGCAAGAAGCUUCUAGCAUGUCCACUCUUGGGGCAGUCAUGCAGGUCAGGGUAAGUCCCUUUGCCAUAUCCAUUAUACAGCGAAUGUCUGCAUGACUGGCACAUCAUCACUUCUUCAGGCACACAGCUCCAUUUUUAGGGCUCCAGAGCUCAAGAGUAAACUACUUAGGAAAAACAAAUUCUUUCCUGUUUAUCUUGUAUGUAUUCUCAGUGCCUGGCACAUAAUGAUUACUUAAUAAACAAUUGCUGUUAAAUAA